rnacentral:lncRNA from 13 species
GUGGGAGUUCCUGGCUCGUGGGGGUGGUUUCUGUGUUUCAUACCAUUCCUCUAGUGCUGUUCUUGUGAGUUCUCAUGAGGUCUGGUUUUUUAAAAGUGUGUGGCACCUCCCACCCCUCUCUCUUCCUCCCUCUCUGGCCAUGUAGACCUGCCCGCUUCCCCUUCAAAUCUUCCACCGUGAGUGAAAGCUCCCUGAGACCUCCCAGCCACCCAGGGAGGAACCAUGCAGCCUGUGGGACCAUGAGCCAGUUAAAACACUUUUCUUUGUAAAUAACACAGUCUCAGUUAUUUCUUCACAGUGAUGUGAGAACAGACUCAGACGACUCAUGACCUUUCAGUCCCAGAGUCCACAUUCAUGAGCCCGACAGGGAAUGAGGAAGCUUCUCCCACGCAUUUCUCAGCAGAACCCAGCAGAAGGCAGGAGUCAGUCCCAGCCGUGCAGAAUGAAGCAAACAUCCACAGCUCACAGGGGCCUCAAGACCGGCCGAGUUCCCAGACUCAAGGGCCCACCUCUGUUUUAUCGACUUGUGAGGGCCUGAGAUGCCUACAGGUAAGAGCAAGGAGGAACCAAGAAGAGAGGGAGGAACUUGUGGAAUCUGACAGAGGCGGAGCACUUCGACAGGGCGAAGGAGGAAGCCGUGAUCUUGUCCAGACACAUCAGGGCGAACAUCUGGGACAGCUUUGAAGAGGACUUCCAUCAUUUUCUCCCUUUUCUCUGCCUUAGUCUCUCUCUGUCUCACUGCUCUGUCUGACUGCCUCUCUCUCCAGCUGUCACCAUGGCGACAAGAGCACACACUUCCCCUUCUCUCCUUCUCCAGAGCACUUGGGUGGGGGCAGCUGAAUCUCAUUUGACCACUCACUGACCCCUUACACCACCUUGAUUAUAACCGUGGGAAAGAGGUUAGAGCAUCCAGAGGGAGAAAGCCAUCAUCUGCAGAGAACCCUCCGGGAGCCCGGCCUGAGGCCACGUGCUGGGGACCCCUGGCAUUCUUGAAGCCACACCAAGAAAUGAGGUUCUGAGAAAGGCAUCUCCUGCAGCUCUCAGCCCCCAUGAUAGGGGGACCUGCCCCUCUCCUGAUGGCUGAGGACCCCCAAGUUGCCCAAGGGAGCCUGCCAGAGUCCAGAGCAGGUCAGGGCACUGGGUUGGAGGUGGCAGGUGGGUUCACCUGCUUCUUGGUCUGGUUUAUUCCAGCUCAGAUAGGGUGAUUAGCUUUUGGCAGCCUUGCCCACCAGUACCCAACAUGAAAGGAAAGAGUACCACCUCCUUCUCUUGGCAUCUCAUGAGCAAGAAAAAGAGAGAGAGAGAAAGGGGGAAGAAGGAAGGAAGGGAGGAAGGGAGGGAGGGAGGGAGGAAGAGAGGAAUAGAGGGAAGAGGAAAGGAGGGAGAGAGGGAGGAGAAAGGAGGAAGGGAGGAGGGUGGAGGGAGGAGGGAGGAGGACUCUCCUCAGCAUCUCAUUCUGGCAUUCUGGAAGUUCAGCUUAUAGAUGAGAACUUUCUCCAUUAGAAAAAAAUUCUAUAGAAACUGCUGGUAAAUAAGGGAAACAGGGAGAAUUCAUAACAUGUGCCUAGGAAAAUAAAGCAAAUUCUGUGUUCUUUGACGAGCA